rnacentral:rRNA from 1 species
AUUGAACGCUGGCGGCAUGCCUUACACAUGCAAGUCGAACGGUAACGGGCCUUCGGGUGCCGACGAGUGGCGAACGGGUGAGUAAUGCAUCGGAACGUACCUUUCAGUGGGGGAUAACGUAGCGAAAGUUACGCUAAUACCGCAUAUUCUGUGCGCAGGAAAGCAGGGGAUCGCAAGACCUUGCGCUGAUUGAGCGGCCGAUGUCAGAUUAGCUAGUUGGUGAGGUAAAGGCUCACCAAGGCGACGAUCUGUAGCGGGUCUGAGAGGAUGAUCCGCCACACUGGAACGGAGACACGGUCCAGACUCCUACGGGAGGCAGCAGUGGGGAAUUUUGGACAAUGGGGGCAACCCUGAUCCAGCCAUGCCGCGUGAGUGAAGAAGGCCUUCGGGUUGUAAAGCUCUUUCGGCCGGGAAGAAAUCGCAUGGGUUAAUACCCUGUGCGGAUGACGGUACCGGCAUAAGAAGCACCGGUUAACUACGUGCCAGCAGCCGCGGUAAAAC